CAAGUCGUGCGAGAAAGUAUCUUCGGAUAUGAGUAGAGCGGCGGACGGGUGAGUAACGCGUAGGAAUCUACCUAGUAGAAGGGGAUAGCCCGGGGAAACCCGGAUUAAUACCGUAUACCUCCUUCGGGAGAAAGAAGGCCUCUCUUUGAAGCUUUCGCUACUAGAUGAGCCUGCGUAAGAUUAGCUUGUUGGUGAGGUAAAGGCUCACCAAGGCAACGAUCUUUAGCUGGUCUGAGAGGACGAUCAGCCACAUUGGGACUGAGACACGGCCCAGACUCCUACGGGAGGCAGCAGUGGGGAAUAUUGGACAAUGGGCGCAAGCCUGAUCCAGCCAUACCGCGUGUGUGAAGAAGGCCUUCGGGUUGUAAAGCACUUUAAGCAGGGAGAAAAAGUUAUAAGUUAAUACCUUAUAGCCUUGAUGUUACCUGCAGAAUAAGCACCGGCUAAUUCCGUGCCAGCAGCCGCGGUAAUACGGAAGGUGCAAGCGUUAAUCGGAAUUACUGGGCGUAAAGCGCGCGUAGGUGGUUUGUUAAGUUGGAUGUGAAAGCCCUGGGCUCAACCUAGGAACUGCAUCCAAAACUAACUCACUAGAGUACGAUAGAGGGAGGUAGAAUUCCUAGUGUAACGGUGGAAUGCCUUGAUAUUAUGA
rnacentral:rRNA from 1 species